GACAAUACCACCCCACUUUUAUUCACUGUGAUUUGCAAGAAAGAGAAAAUGGUGGAAUUUUUAUUGAAAAAGCAAAUACACAUGCCGUUGAUAGGCCGAGAUGACGAAGUCUCACUCCGUUGCCAGCCUGGAGUGCGGUGGUGUGAUCUCGGCUCACUGCAACCUCCACCUGCCAGGUUCAAGCGAUUCUCCUGCCUCAACCUCCCACGUAGCUGGGACUACAGAACAGCCCUCAUGCUUGCUGUGCACUAUGACCCGCCAGGUAUUGUCAACAUCCUUCUUAAGCAAAAUGUUAAGAGCUCUACUCAAGACUUGUGUGGAUGAGAGGCCGAAGACUACCCUCUUGUGGGUUGACAAACAGCGUGUGCCUGAGAAAGUGUCGGAGCCUUUACCUCGACCUUCCCGUGAAAAAGGGAACAGAAUAGUCAACGGAAAAGGAGAAGAUUCCACUUCUGCAAGGCUCCACAGAAGUCUCCAACCUUCAAAUCUUCAGUCUCUGAAAGCACCGAUUCCUGAAAGGAUGGCCUCAAAUGACCAAGUAUACGAGCCGUCUAUAUCCCUGCUCCUGAAAAACAAGCUAACUGGACUCUCCAUCACCUGCCCCCAGCACAGAUGCACUACCAGCUACCCAGCUGAACUCCAUGACUGACUUGCCAUCCAAUCAUGCCCCUGACC
rnacentral:lncRNA from 10 species